UUGAACGCUGGCGGUAUGCUUAACACAUGCAAGUCGAACGGCAGCAUGGUCUAGCUUGCUAGACUGAUGGCGAGUGGCGGACGGGUGAGUAACGCGUAGGAAUAUGCCUUGAAGAGUGGGACAACUUGGGGAAACUCAAGCUAAUACCGCAUGUACUCGAGAGAGUAUAGCUGGGGACCUUUAGGCCUGGCGCUUUAAGAUUAGCCUGCGUCCGAUUAGCUAGCUGGUAGGGUAAGGGCCUACCAAGGCGACGAUCGGUAGCUGGUCUGAGAGGAUGAUCAGCCACACUGGAACUGAGAGACGGUCCAGACUCCUACGGGAGGCAGCAGUGGGGAAUAUUGGACAAUGGGGGGAACCCUGAUCCAGCAAUGCCGCGUGUGUGAAGAAGGCCUGAGGGUUGUAAAGCACUUUCAGUGGGGAGGAGGUUUGGAAGGUUAAGAGCUAUUCAAAUGGACGUUACCCACAGAAGAAGCACCGGCUAACUACGUGCCAGCAGCCGCCGUAA
rnacentral:rRNA from 1 species